rnacentral:rRNA from 1 species
AUUGAACGCUGGCGGCAGGCUUAACACAUGCAAGUCGAACGAGUGGCGGACGGGUGAGUAAUGCUUGGGCAUCUGGCUUAUGGAGGGGGAUAACUACGGGAAACUGUAGCUAAUACCGCGUACCAUAGUAUGAGCCCAAGUGGGAUUAGGUAGUUGGUGAGGUAAAGGCUCACCAAGCCGACGAUCUCUAGCUGGUCUGAGAGGAUGCCAGGCCACACGGGGACUGAGAAACGGCCCAGACUCCUACGGGAGGCAGCAGGGGGGAAUUUUGCGCAAUGGGGGCAACCUGACGCAGCCCUGCCGGGUGAAGGAAGAGGGCCUUCGGGUUGUAAAGUUCUUUCGGUAGCGAGGCGUUAACUACAGAAGAAGCACCGGCUAACUCCGUGCCAGCAGCCGCGGUAAUA